UAUCCGUAGGUGAACCUGCGGAAGGAUUAUUCAUAAUAAGUGUUUUAUGGCACUUUUUUAAAUCCAUAUCCACCUUGUGUGCAAUGUCAGGGUUGAUUUUUCUCUCGAGAGGAUCAACCCCAAACAUCAACUAUAUCUCAACUCUUUGUCUGAAAAAUAUUAUGAAUAAAACAAUUCAAAAUACAACUUUCAACAACGGAUCUCUUGGCUCUC
rnacentral:misc_RNA from 1 species